GGGCCCGUAGCUCAGCUGGUUAGAGCGCCAAGCUUAUACCUUGGAUGUCCCUGGUUCGAGUCCAGGCGGGCCCACCA
rnacentral:tRNA from 1 species